rnacentral:siRNA from 1 species
ACCUUAAGUAUAAGUAGAUAUA